CCAGGUCUCCAGCUCCACCUGCAAGUCAUUAGAAACACUCAGGUACAGAGGCAGGGACACAGCAGAGACAGCCAGGAUCCCUGCCACUCACGCACACAAAUCCCAGAUAGAAUGUUCCCCGUGCCCAGGCAUCCGGGUACUCUGUCCCUUCACCGCUGAGUAACCUGCCCUGCUCACACCUGCAAUUUUAGCAUACUGCCUGCUCCUACUACAGACUCCAGGUAUGUUACCAUCCUGACUCUGAAAUAUCACGGCACAUCACACACCCGGACACCCAGAAACACUGCCCUUUUAGACCUGAGCUACGCAGUGGCACAAACUCACUCAUACACACCUGAGACGACAUCUCCCUUCCUCCAACAUGAGACAUCUCCCUUCCUCCAACAUGAGACAUGUUUGCCUACCACACACACUGGAGAUGCUCAGAUAUGACAACCACACCAUACCUCAGACAUGUAGGUAGAGCACGCACACACACGAAGGUACACUGCCUCCCACAUGCUGCCACACACACACACUGAGACCUACAGAUAUACUGCAAAACAUGGCCGAGACUCCCAAAUACAUGUCCUCUUUUUUUUUUUUUUUGAGACGGAGUCUCGCUCUGUCAUCUAGGCUGGAAUGCAGUGGCGUGAUCUCAGCUCGCUGCAACCUCCGCCUCCCGGGUUCAAGCAAUUCUUCUGCCUCAGCCUCCCAAGUAGCUGGGACUACAGGCGCGUGCCACCAUGCCCGGCUAUUUUUUGUAUUUUUAGUAGAGAUGGGGUUUCACCAUAUUGGCCAGGCUGGUCUUGAACUCCUGACCUCGUGAUCCGCCCGCCUCGGCCACCCAAAGUGCUGGGAUUACAGGCGUGAGCCACUGCGCCCGGCCGAUAUAUGUCGUCUUAACGCUGAGACAUUUCAGCAUGCGGCCACAAAACGCCCAGGCUCAUCUGUGUCCUUCCAUGAGAUGUUCCUUGUACAUACGUGUCACAUCCAUGGGACAUGGCAGUUCACUGCCUCCAAACACCUAGAUACACUGCCCCACACGGCUAAGACACAAAGGUCCACAUGAACACAACACACAGACAUCGAGUGACUCUCAGGCUGCCAGCAAGGAUCUGUGCUUGGGGGCCAGUCCCUGUGUGGAUCCUACGUGGGAUAGGAAAAUCUUCAUAAUGCUGUUCUAUGGUAUUGUUUUCUUGCCGAUUCUUUUGCCCUCCAACCAGGAUCGCUCAUCACACUAUAAUUGUUACUGCACAUCUGCGAUCCCUGUUAGAGGUUCUGUAGCUCCACAGGGUAGGGGCUGGGCCUGGCUUGUUCAUACUUGUGUUCUAAGUACCUAGGACAGUGUGGGCAUAUAAUAGGCCUGAUACAUGUUGGUUGUAAAGAAGUCUCCUCAGUCUAAUCCUCAUUGUUGUGUAGAUGAUCUCUUUUUACUCCCUGCUUUUAAGAUAUCAUUGGUGUUUUGUAGUUUUGUCACAAUGUAUCUAGAUGUUUAUUUAUUCUAUUUAUUCUGCUCAAUAUGUUGUACUUCCUGUAUGUAUGAAUUCACAUCUUUUAUCGUAUUUUAUCAUAUUGGAAAGUUCUCAGAAACCAUCCAGAUAUUAUUUUUCCUCUGUCCUCUGUGCUCUCUCCUUUGCCAACUCUGAUUAGGAGUGUUCUAGACCUUUUCAUUCUGUACUCUGUGUCUUUUAACCUGUCUCCUGUAUCUUUCAUCUCUUUGUGUCUUGGUGAUACAUUCAGGUAAUCUCUUCCAGUCUGUCUUCCAGUUCACUAAUUCUCUCUUUGGUUACAUCUGAUGUGCUGUUUAAUCCUUACAUGGAAGGGUUUUUUAAUUUUAUUUUUUGGUUGUUGUUAUACUCAUAUGAAAAUUACUCUACUUGGCCAGCCACCGUGCCCGGCCGAAAAUUACUCUA
rnacentral:lncRNA from 1 species